rnacentral:tRNA from 1 species
GAGGGUAUAACUCAGUGACAGAGCAUGUGCUUAGCAUGCAUGAGAUCCAGGGCUCAAUUCCCAGUACCUCCA